AAANCUAGGACUUGAGAUAGUUGAGCUUCCUUAAAGGUUAAAAGGAAAACACUGUCUAUUUAGCCCCUAUGCUGUGCUAGGCAGUGAGACCCUUUCACUGCUUUAUCUCAUUGAACCCUCCCACUAACCCUGAAAUGAAUAUAUUAUUAUCAAAUAAGGAUGGGAAUUAUUUGAGAUGAUGUAAGUAAGACAUCAUGUCCAUUGCCUGGCACAUUAAUUGUUCAAUAGCGGGAGCCAUUAGUACUAUUGCUUAAACCCAUUUGAUAGAUAAAGAAGUUAAGGCUCAGAGAGAUUUGGCAACUUGCUAUAAAGUUAUGUAGCUGAGGAGUGGCAGAACACGAGUCCAACACAGACCAGUUUGGAUCCACAGAUCACAUGUACACUUCCUGGGGCGCCGUGCAGUUACCAAGUUGCAUUUUUUUGGGGAAAGACAAAACCUGACUUUUCAUUUAUUAAAAAAAAAAAUAACCUGGAGUUCUGAUUCCCUGGGCCAUCCCUGUUCCUGCAUGUUUUUCUUUUUUCUCUAAUUAUCUAGUCUCGUUAAUAAGAAGCCACCAUACAGUUCUUUUUGUAACUCCUGGCUUAGCUCAAAAUCUUACAGGAAACAAGGGGGAAAGCAGAAGAUGCCGUCACCAUCUGCUGCAGCUCCUUCUCGAGCCCCAUGCGAACAAGUCCUUCUCUCCACCAUAACUCAUGGGCCCAUUCUCUGCUCCUCCCCACCAGGCCCAAGGUCAAGGAGCACCACAGUUCCUUAGGCUGCACCAUUGUGGUUGGCACACGCCUUCUCCUCCAAGGAGAACUGCAUGCCUGCGUGGGAUUGUUUCCUCUCAGCUAAUUGCUCCCUCUUAGGCCCCACCCUGUGAAGACUGUCAGAGAAGGGGGCACUCCCAGGUCAGAGGUCAGGUCACAGACGCUCCAUGGCCAAGACCUCAGGUGAAUUCUUGGGUUUUGCCGAAGAAUUAAAGACUGGGGAAGCCAGGUCUCUUAAAUGAAGCUCAUUAGGAAUCCCAGCAAAGCCGGGAUCCCUGCGUGCUGUGUCAUCACAGGCUACUGGGCCUGUGGCUUCAUGGGCAAGUUAUAAUUAGCAGACAGCUCAUCCUGGAAGAAAGCGGAGAGUGAGUCUCAGAACUGGUCUUUCUGCCCCCGGUUUGGCUUCCCUCCAGCCUGCCCCAUCAUUGUGUCACCCUCAGCCUUAAGAUCUUUAAUGACUUCCUUUUAAACUCUACUUAACAACAGGAAAGAUGUUUAUACAGUUUAAAUGGAAAGGAAAAAGCUCCACUUCUCUCCCACUGCCUCUGUGCUUUACCUGACCAGCUUCUACUAGUUUCUAAGGUUCGGCUCUGCAGUCGCCUCUUCUGAUGUGCUAGCCUGAGCCAGGUGCCUUCUCUGUGCCUUUGUUACACAUCUUGGACCUCCCUCUAGCUCAGCCCUCACUGUCCUUCCCUCUGGUUUUCCAUCCCAUUUCUCAACCACGCAAUGAUCUUCUCAUGGGACAAGACCCCAUUAGCAUAAGUGACAUAGUAGGUGUUAGAAAUACUGUGUGACAUAGCAGAGUGACUGAGAAACAUACUUGUGUCUCUUUUUUAUGUUACUUCAAAUUCACUGGAAAUGAAAGAAAGGUCCCUCUUUUCUGUGUUACUGAGAUUUGAAUUUUCUUUACUCUUAAUGAAGGCUGUAAUUAAUAUCUUUUGGGGUUUUAGGGCUGAAAAAAAUAAGUGAGAAGUCCCCAAAUUCAGUCUCAUGGUUUUUUUUUUUUUUUUAAUUUGAAGGUACAGAUCUACUGGAGUGUACCUUGGACAGGGUCAAGGGCAUGACUGUGGGAAUGAUCGGUGAACCACUCCAACUGAAAGGCAUUGGUGGCUGUUAUGGUGGCCUGUGCCUGGGUGCUAGGUGCAGGGGCCUCUGGAGCCCUGGCAAAGUUCCCUGUGGCUGAGCUGGUGCAGAGGAUAGAGGGCUGCUAGCACAACCACCCACUUUCUGGUGGCGCAAGGACUUACAUACAGCAACACAACGGACUGGAAAUGAAAACUAAGGCUGGAGUCUCCUUACCACUCCACUCCCUCUCCACCAUUUUCCUGGGAUGGAUCUUAUAAGCUCUAGGCUUCUUAUAUGAUCCAGAUGAGAGAGAUGGAAUGGUGUGGGGUGACUAAGAUUGAAUUUUUUGAUAAGUAAGGGCAAUAUAGGAAUACUUUUACAUAAUGACAAUGUCUUGUGAACACAGAAAAUAGACCAGCCUUGCAAAGACUAGCCUUGCAAAGGAAUCAGCUGGAAUGAGAAAGAGUCAGCCCAGUAAGCAUGUAUGGAGCCCUGGUUAUAGUUCUGGGGCUGAGACUAUUACGGUGGAUAAGCCAUGGACUUUCCUUUGCAAUCUAUGAGGAAGACCAGAUGGACACAUAAUCAGGAAUUUCAGCAUAACAUGUUAUAUCUUGAGGUAGAGGGAAGCACUAAAGGGAAGGGAACUUAGCCUGAAAUGGGGAAGCAGGGAAGAUUUUCUAGGGUAUAUUGUACUACUUGAACUGGUCUUUGGGGAUAAAUGAACUAAAUUUGUGAUUAAAAAAAAAAAACCACCCAGAAAAUGUAUUCCAAAUGCCAGGGAGGCAGAGACAGAAAGUUGUAUGAACUAUCUUGGGUUUGGGGGUAUUCAUAUGUGCAUUUAUGUAUCUUUCUUUCAAUCUUCCUUUUAGGAAUUGCCCUUCAACCAUGUGCAGUACCCACAGGGUUAGCCUGAGAUCCAGGCUAGGGUGGUCAGGCAUUCUGUCUUAGAAUUUGGCUUUUGAAUGGAGUAAUGAGAAAUGGCUGUAGCUGCUUCAUCUAGACACCAGCACCCUAAAGAGGCUUUCCUUUGGUUCCUGGGGCCUAGGGCUCUGGAGCUGCAUACUUCCUUUCUUCAUAGUCAUGUGUUUUUCCAUAUCAUAUAUAUCAUAAUUAUAUAUAUGUAUACAUUUAUACAUAUAUAGUCAUACUGUGUAUAUAUGUACAUUUGUAUAAUUUUGUUUGUAUUGGCCAACUGUUUUCUGUUGCUUGCAACCAAAGACAUUUAACUAAUACAUAUCCUUUUCUGGUAUCUCUCUGCCUCAGCUUUUCUACCUGUAAAAUGGGAAUAGUAAAGCUUGUUACUUACCCUCAGGCGGUUGUGUAGAUUAAAAGUAUAGGUCAAUAAAAUGCUUUCAGAUGCUUGGAUUAAAGUUGCUAUUGAACUACAAAGUCUCUGUCUCAAUUUUAGCUGUGUUUUCAAAGAGGGACUUUCUUUAUAUACCAUAAAACAGCUUUUAUCCUGAGAGGAGGUGUUCCUCAUUUUACUGUCCCUGUAAACAGUUCAAGGAUUGCUCCAUACUCACUGUGUUUCCAAAGCUAGCAUUCUAGAUGAAAGCUCAGCUUUAUGCAGCGUGAGAAGUUGCAGUACUGUUCAGGGAGGUGAUGUGGGCAUUCUUGUUAUUAUGUGUUAUUUAGUGAUAUAGAAGUUGGCUCAAAUGCUCAAGUUGUUGCCUUUUUUUAGCUUUUUAUAGCUCUUUAGGGUUAAUACAUUCCUAACUCAAAUCAACAUAAUAUGUAAAAAGUCUACCAAUUUCAGAGCAGAAAGAGCUGCAUCAUGUUAGAGCAUUGGGCAAUUAUGAAAGUAUGUACCAUAAUAAAAACUAUGACACUUACAUGUUCUAGAAUAUUUUAUGAUUUUCAGAACACCUAUACUUUUCCUUAAAACUAGUGUAGACUCUGAAGCAUUUGGCAGAUGCCAGUGAUACAAAGGACUCCUGAGUUGUUUUUUUAAGGGUACUGUUUUUAUAAUAUGCAAAUGUUAUGACAAUAAUGCAUACUUAUCUGGGAAAAUUGGGAAAUGCAGAAGGGUAGAAAGAUAAAGAAAAAUACAUCAAUAUUUCAAUAAGCUCCCUGCCCUAAAAUUAUAAUUCAUUACAUUUUCAUGUAUACCAAUUUCCUCUUGCUCCUAAUUAUUUUAUAAUUAUUUCCCAUUAGUUAAUGCAAUUUUAUAUCCUUUUUUUUCUUAUUACAUUACAUCUCUAGCUGCUAUCUAUUGCCCCCCCCAAAAAAAAAAUUCGGUGGAUUAAAAUAAGAACCAUUUUGAUUGCUAAUGAAUCCAGGGAUUGUCUGGAAGGUUCUUCAAAUUCCUGGUCUCAUCUAUCUGGGCUUGCUCAUGGGUCUGCCAUCAGGUGAUCUUGGUGGGUAAUAUCACUUGUUUGGGGGUUCACAGUUCUCCUAAACUUGGCUUCUCAUCCUCCAGGAGGCUAGCCUGGGCUUGUACGUGGGAUGUUGGCAAGCUUGCAAGAGAGAGGCUUACAUAUGGAACCGGCAUUAGUGUCAUCGUGGUAAUUGCCAGUGCCAGUCACAAGUCCAACCUUGGAUUUGAGGGCUGGGCAGGCAGCCUCCAAGGCUCCAUGGGAAGGGACUAGUCAUGUGCAAACGUCAGGGAGAGAGGGAGGGGUCAAGAGCUGUAUCUGGAAUUUUCUAUCCCUCUCCCAGAAUAACAUAGGCACACUUUUGUGUUAAUUCAUCGACAUUUGUAAUGACUUUAUAGUAUCACAUUGAGUUACACCAUCACAAACAAUUUCCGUGUUCCCUUAUUUUAAGACAUUUAGGAUUUUCUGGUCUAUUUGCUGCAGCAUGACAAAUAAUUUUGUGAGGAGAAAACCCUUCUAUUGGGGGUUAUUUUAAAAAUCCUAAUAUAGAUUUACAGAAAUUCCUGUUGUGGCUCAGAGGGUUAAGAACCCAACACAGUGUCCUUGAGGAUGCAGGUUCAAUCCCUUGCCUCGUUCAGUGGAUUAAGAAUCUGAGGUUGUGGUGAGCUGCAGCAUAGAUCACAGAUGUGGCUCAGAUCUGCAUCCGACAUUGCUGUGGCUGUGGCUGUGGCAUCAGCAGACAGCUGCAGCUCUGAUUAGAUCCAUAGCCAGGGAACUUCCAUGUGUCACAGGUACAGCCAUUAAAAAGAAAAAAAAGAAAGAAAGAAAAAAAAAA
rnacentral:lncRNA from 1 species